UGAUAUCUCUUAUUAAACAAACACUAAUAUAAAAUUAGUGGCUUGAGACAAUUAAGACAAGGACAGUUUAGCUACCUUAAUUGGUGGUUACCUCUAUCUUAUCUGGGGCUGUUCAAGAAUUAACAUUCUCUAAACUUUGUCCAAUGUGUCUAAUCUCAAAACUCUUAAUCAUACAGCACAAAACUCAUCACAAAAUUAGCAGACCCAUGAAAGUUUUUUUAUUUUUUUAUUUUUUAAUAAAUAUUUUUAAAUCAAUUAUGAUGAUAAUUUCAUGCUUAUACCUACCAAAACUGAACCUAUCUCUAGCUAACUCUGCAUAUUGCCAGCUGUUGAUUAAUUAUGAUAUAUGUAAUAUGUGGGAUGUGAUGAUCAACAAACAUGCAUCAUCAAUCCAAUCAAAUUAAUUAGGUAUAUGUUGAUUAAUUCUACUAUUGCGCAGCCUUUCAGUUGAGCAAAUCUCCUAUGUAUUCCAUUAAAGUAUUUAAAUUUAAGAUUAGACCACCCCCAACACCCCUUCUCCUCAGCAAAUUGAUUUUGGAGUGGAACCUCAACUUCAGCAGGUUUGUCACGUGUGAAAGCCUAACGACCACAUGUACUCCAUAUCAUCCAAUUUGUAUUGUCC
rnacentral:lncRNA from 1 species